UACGUAGGGGGCAAGCGUUGUCCGGAAUCAUUGGGCGUAAAGCGCGUGUAGGCGGCUCGGUAAGUCUGCUGUGAAAGUCCAGGGCUCAACCCUGGGAUGCCGGUGGAUACUGUCGAGCUCGAGUCCGGAAGAGGAGAGUGGAAUUCCUGGUGUAGCGGUGAAAUGCGCAGAUAUCAGGAAGAACACCCGUGGCGAAGGCGGCUCUCUGGGACGGUACUGACGCUGAGACGCGAAAGCGUGGGGAGCAAACAGG
rnacentral:rRNA from 1 species